CCUGCCCUUAGAAGCAUUGCAGGUGUUGCUGCUGUGUUACAUAUGCCUCAGUAGGUGGGAGAGAGGAGAGAGGCUAUAUCUACACUGUUAUGAUGUUUGAACAUGUAAAUGAUUAGUAGCAUAACAUU